AUAUACAGCAUGUACACUAUACACAGUAUCCCUCCCUGUAUACUGUGUGUAGUGUGCAUGCUGUGUAU